UGAACGCUGGCGGCAGGCCUAACACAUGCAAGUCGAGCGUGAAAAGCCUUCGGGCUGAGUAAAGCGGCGGACGGGUGAGUAACGCGUAGGAAUCUACCUGGUAGUGGGGGACAACAUGGGGAAACUCAUGCUAAUACCGCAUACGCCCUACGGGGGAAAGCGGGGGACCUUCGGGCCUCGCGCUAUCAGAUGAGCCUGCGUUGGAUUAGCUUGUUGGUGAGGUAAAAGCUCACCAAGGCGACGAUCCAUAGCUGGUCUGAGAGGAUGAUCAGCCACACUGGGACUGAGACACGGCCCAGACUCCUACGGGAGGCAGCAGUGGGGAAUAUUGCGCAAUGGGGGAAACCCUGACGCAGCCAUGCCGCGUGUGUGAAGAAGGCCUUAGGGUUGUAAAGCACUUUCAAUUGGGAAGAAAGGUUGUACGUUAAUAGCGUGCAGCUGUGACGUUACCUUUAGAAGAAGCACCGGCUAACUCC
rnacentral:rRNA from 1 species